CGCGGGGUGGAGCAGUCCGGUAGCUCGUCGGGCUCAUAACCCGGAGGUCGCUGGUUCAAAUCCAGCCCCCGCUACCA
rnacentral:tRNA from 2 species